rnacentral:rRNA from 1 species
GACGAACGCUGGCGGCGUGCUUAACACAUGCAAGUGGAGCGACGAACCGGGCUUCGGCCCGGGGCAAAGCCGCGAACGGGUGAGUAACACGUGGGUAACCUGCCCCGAUGACCGGGACAACCCGAGGAAACUCGGGCUAAUACCGGAUGUGCUCGCAGCACAUCAGUGGAGCGAGUAAAGGAAGCUUCGGCCUCCGCAUUGGGAUGGGCCCGCGGCCCAUUAGCUUGUUGGUGAGGUAAAAGCUCACCAAGGCAACGAUGGGUAGCUGGUCUGAGAGGACGAUCAGCCACACUGGGACUGAGACACGGCCCAGACUCCUACGGGAGCAGCAGUGGGGAAUCUUGCGCAAUGCGCGAAAGCGUGACGCAGCAACGCCGCGUGAGGGAAGACGGCCUCGG